GAAGGCGUCACUGGGACUGCCUUUGAUCCCCCCAAUACGCAAGGCAGGAAGUCUCCCUGUUGGCAGUGCUGCGGGGUCUCUGCGCAGCUCUCCCCGGCUGGAUUUCCAGGAGUCCCGGGAGAUGAGGCCAAGAUCCAGCAGCACAAGCCAAGAGAAGACGUUGGAACAUGCAGGCCUGACUGGCUACCCUCUUGCCAAGAGGUUUUCCCUGGCAAGUCCCUCCAUGCUCCUUCCCUCCAAGCCACUGCCUCCCAUCCAGAGGAGCUCUCCUGCUGCCAUGCCAAGCAAGAUGUUCCAC